rnacentral:rRNA from 1 species
UACAGAGGUCUCGAGCGUUGUUCGGAUUCAUUGGGCGUAAAGGGUGCGUAGGUGGCUAGGUAAGUCGGAUGUGAAAUCCCGGGGCUCAACCCCGGAACUGCAUUCGAUACUGCCUGGCUAGAGUACUGGAGAGGAGAUUGGAAUUUACGGUGUAGCAGUGAAAUGCGUAGAUAUCGUAAGGAAGACCAGUGGCGAAGGCGGAUCUCUGGACAGUUACUGACACUGAGGCACGAAGGCCAGGGGAGCAAACAGG